rnacentral:tRNA from 2 species
GGGUACGUAGCUCAGGGGAUAGAGCAACCGCCUUCUAAGCGGUCGGUCGCAGGUUCGAAUCCUGCCGUACCCG